GAUGCAUCAUCGUGUCAAACGGGUGGCGGCUUACGCAGGCGCGCAUCCCCUGUGCUUUCAGUUUCAGCACCAGCAGCAACCACCUCACCGUGAUGGAUUCACUGGCUGAAUUUGUUCCUGCCAAUCAACGGCAGCUAAUCAUAGCAGCUCCAGUUAGCUACUCACAGGAAGAUCAUUUUUGCAUCUACUAGAAGCUGCAGCAUGGACAUGAUAUAUUUGCAAGAUAUGAUUGCAUUAGGAGGUGAUGAAGUAAGUGUUUCAAACAUGCAAAUUCAUGUCAUCAUCCACCAGAACUGCCCCCUCGCUACUUUCUCUACCGUAUGUACUAGUAAUUAUUAUAGUUAUACUCUACUUUAAAUUUGAUUUCAUGCUGGAACUUUCUUAGGAGUAAUAUGCAACUUGUGACCUGUUUUUGCUAGCAUUAUUGUUGUUUUGAAUGAAGAAUUGAUGGUUGCAAUUGGCAGAUUUCUGCUAACCCGUGAAUCAGUAAUUAAGUUAUGAAUGGAUGCAAAUUCUGCUAAAUACAUAGCUAUUUUUAUUCAGGAUAGAGCUUCGAGCUACGACAUGAAUAAUACUCAUGUACAUGAAUGUACAUGUUAAUACAUACAUUAGGAUAAAUAUAAUAAAGAACUGCAUGAUUGGGUAGUGUGAACUAGCCUAGCAAAAUGCUUGUGUUUCCUAUUUUGUCCUAAGAGGAGUUCUGAUUUCAGUUCUGUUUUUUAAAUCGUUUGGUGGAAAAUCUGUCAGUUUUUUUAUAAAAAGAUAUGUGGAAUGAUGUAGACACUCCCAGUCUUAUAUACGGUCCUCAUCAAGGUUGUUCAAGUUGCUUAGGAUUUUAUUCAUUCAUCCUUAUGUUUUUUUUUGUCUAGGAGCAACAUCUUUGUACCAUGAUCUAAGCUGUCAACGUAGUAUGAUCAGCCAUCUGUGGCCUUUCAAUUAUUCUAAUUAUGCAUGUGACAAGAUUGUCAUUUUUUUUAUUCAAUUCAGCGAUCUCCAAGGUUGCAUGUAAGCUUUGUCCACUAGAUCAUGGAUCCAACACAAGCCUCCAGGUGCUGUUAACCUCAUCUCCACAUAUUUAGCAACAAACUUUGUGUGAGUUAAAGAUCAAAUUGUACAGUCAAACAUAUUUACUUGUGGUUAUUAAAUUUUUAACACACCUAAAUUACCUUUACUUUCUAUUUCAACACAGAAAACUAUGGAUUUAAAUGCUAGUAAACAGCCAAUGCUUUUCUACAGACCAUUUAUGAGCAUUUUUGGUAGAAUAAAGGAGUUUUCCGAUCCAAUGGCCAUUUAAGAAUUGUGUGAAUUAGUGAUUAUUACAGCAGAAGUGCGUGGUCAUUGAGUAUGUUUAUUAAAAUUCUUUGAAGUGGUGGAAUUUAAUUACACUGCCACCACAUAUUUGUCACUGUUGUUGCUAUGGAAAGUACAAAUAUUCAUCUAUUUGACAUCAACUGUUUAUUUUCAGGCCCAUUCUUUGGUUGUCAAGGUGGUAAAUACAAGUAAAGGCUUGUUUUGAUAACCUCUCUUGCAGGAUUUAUUUUCAAUUUGUUCAAGGCUGUUGGUAUUGCACCGAGGAAAUUUAUUACCUUCUUUUUUUUUCACCUUGAAAUGUCAUAUUGAUAACCCAAGUAAUCAUGUCAUCAACUCAUAUGUGAUAUUUGGAGUGCCUUGGAGUGUAUUGCUUUGAAAGCAAUUUGAAUAUCAACAGAGAUUGUACAA